rnacentral:rRNA from 1 species
GACGAACGCUGGCGGCGUGCCUAAUACAUGCAAGUCGAGCGGACUUUCAAGAAGCUUGCUUUUUGAAAGUUAGCGGCGGACGGGUGAGUAACACGUGGGCAACCUGCCUGCAAGACGGGGAUAACUCCGGGAAACCGGGGCUAAUACCGGAUAAUAUCUUCCUUCGCAUGAAGGAAGGUUGAAAGGCGGCGCAAGCUGCCGCUUGCAGAUGGGCCCGCGGCGCAUUAGCUAGUUGGUGAGGUAACGGCUCACCAAGGCGACGAUGCGUAGCCGACCUGAGAGGGUGAUCGGCCACACUGGGACUGAGACACGGCCCAGACUCCUACGGGAGGCAGCAGUAGGGAAUCUUCCGCAAUGGGCGAAAGUCUGACGGAGCAACGCCGCGUGAGCGAAGAAGGGCUUCGGAUCGUAAAGCUCUGUUGUCAGGGAAGAACAAGUACCGUUCGAACAGGGCGGUACCUUGACGGUACCUGACCAGAAAGCCACGGCUAACUACGUG